rnacentral:rRNA from 1 species
AGCGAACGUUAGCGGCGCGCCUAACACAUGCAAGUCGCACGAGAAAGGGCUUCGGCCCCGGUAAAGCGGCGCACGGGUGCGUAGCACGUAGGCAAUCUUCUCUUGGGUGGGGGAUAACCUUCCGAAAGGAGGGCUAAUACCGCGUAAGACCACGACCGGUUCGCCGGUUGAGGUCAACGGUGGCCUCUGCAUGCAAGCUACCGCCUGAGAACGAGCCUGCGGCCCAUCAGCUAGUUGGUAGGGUAACGGCCUACCAAGGCGAAGACGGGUAGCUGGUCUGAGAGGAUGAUCAGCCACACUGGCACUGAAACACGGGCCAGACUCCUACGGGAGGCAGCAGUGGGGAAUCUUGGUCAAUGGGCGCAAGCCUGAACCAGCGACGCCGCGUGAGUGAUGAAGGCCUUCGGGUUGUAAAGCUCUGUGGGGAGAGACGAAAACGUUUGGCGCGAAUAGCUCCAGACCUUGACAGUAUCUCCUUAGCAAGCACCGGCUAACUCUGUGCCAGCAGCCGCUGUAACAC